UGGUGGAGUGAUUUGUCUGGUUAAUUCCGUUAACGAACGAGCCUUAGCCUACUAACUAGUCGUUUCAAUCCCGAUUGACUACGACUUCUUAGAGGGACUUUGUGGCAAAUAAACACAAGGAAGUUUGAGGCAAUAACA
rnacentral:rRNA from 1 species